UUAACUGAAACCAAAAAGAGGUAUAUUAUUGUUAAUAAUAAAAUUGAAUAAGCAUUCCUGUUAAA
rnacentral:tRNA from 1 species